UCCAAUCGAACUCGGAGAUAGCUGGUUCUCCUCGAAAUAGCUUUAGGGCUAGCCUCGAGCUGGAGUCUAACGGAGGUAAAGCACUGAACUGACGCGGGGCCCAAAAAGGUUACCAACUCAUAUCAAACUAAGAAUGCCGUCAAGAUACCCUCGGGAGUCAGUCUGCGUGAGAUAAGUCGCGUGGACAAAAGGGAAAGAGCCCAGACCGACAGCUAAGGUCCCAAAGUACGUGUUAAGUGGAAAAGGAUGUGGGAUUUCAUAGACAACUAGGAUGUUGGCUUAGAAGCAGCCAUACAUUUAAAGAGUGCGUAAUAGCUCACUAGUCGAGAAAACCUGCGCCGAAAAUGUAACGGGGCUAAAACACGACACCGAAGCUACGGAUUUCCUACAAGGUAGGAAGUGGUAGAGGAGCAUCCUGCAAGGACGAAGCCAAAGUGAGAGCGAUGGUGGACGAAACAGGAGAGAGAAUGCCGGAAUGAGUAGCGAGAUACAUGUGAGAAACAUGUAGGCCGAAUAUCUAAGGAUUCCUGGGUAAAGCUAAUCUUCCCAGGGUUAGUCGGGGCCUAAGGCGAGGACGAAAGUCGUAGUCGAUGGAUAACAGGUUGAUAUUCCUGUACUACACAUAAUCAGAACUGUGGGGACGCAGGAGGAUAGGGAAACCGGGGAAUGGAAAGACCCGGUCAAGCGUAAAGCUGUGGGAGAUAGGCAAAUCCGUCUCCUGUAAGUGAAACGUGAUGAGGACUGAAAAAAAGUAAGGAAGUUUCCGAAUCCACACUGCCGAGAAAAGCCGCUAUUGCGUUAUGUGUACCCGUACCGUAAACCGACACAGGUAGAUGAGGAGAAAAUCCACAGGCCGACGGGAGAAGUGUUGUUAAGGAACUCGGCAAAAUGACCCCGUAACUUCGGGAUAAGGGGAGCCUCGCAAGAGGCCGCAGAAAAGAGGCACAAGCAACUGUUUAGCAAAAACAUAGGUCUAUGCGAAACCGUAAGGUGAAGUAUAUGGGCUGACGCCUGCCCGGUGCUGGAAGGUUAAAAGGAGAGGUCAGCGCAAGCGAAGCUUUGAAUUCAAGCCCCAGUAAACGGCGGCCGUAACUAUAACGGUCCUAAGGUAGCGAAAUUCCUUGUCAGGUAAGUUCUGACCCGCACGAAAGGCGUAAUGAUUUGUGCACUGUCUCGACAACACGCCCGGUGAAAUUGAAGAACCAGUGAAGAUACUGGUUACCCGCAACAGGACGGAAAGACCCCAUGGAGCUUUACUGCAGCCUGAUACUGGGAUUCGAUGAUAUAUGUACAGGAUAGGUGGGAGGCUAAGAAGCGAGAACGCUAGUUUUCGUGGAGCCGCCGGUGGGAUACCACUCUUAUGUCAUUGAAUUUCUAACCUGCAUCCGUAAUCCGGGUGAGGGACAAUGUCAGGCGGGCAGUUUGACUGGGGCGGUCGCCUCCUAAAAGGUAACGGAGGCGCUCGAAGGUCACCUCAGAAUGAUUGGAAACCAUUCAAAGAGUGUAAAGGCAAAAGGUGGCUUGACUGCGAGAGCGACGGCUCGAGCAGGUACGAAAGUAGGACUUAGUGAUCCGGUGGUAAUAAGUGGGAAUGCCAUCGCUCAACGGAUAAAAGCUACCCUGGGGAUAACAGGCUUAUCUCCCCCAAGAGUUCACAUCGACGGGGAGGUUUGGCACCUCGAUGUCGGCUCA
rnacentral:rRNA from 1 species